rnacentral:tRNA from 1 species
GCCUGGAUGGCUCAGUGGGUUGAGCAACUGACUUCAGCUCAGGUCAUGAUCUCGCAGUCAGUGGGUUUGGGCCCCGCAUCGGGCU